rnacentral:rRNA from 1 species
UACGUAGGGUGCAAGCGUUGUCCGGAAUUAUUGGGCGUAAAGAGCUCGUAGGCGGUUCGUCGCGUCGGCUGUGAAAUCCCGAGGCUCAACCUCGGGUCUGCAGUCGAUACGGGCGGACUAGAGUUCGGUAGGGGAGUCUGGAAUUCCUGGUGUAGCGGUGAAAUGCGCAGAUAUCAGGAGGAACACCGGUGGCGAAGGCGGGACUCUGGGCCGAUACUGACGCUGAGGAGCGAAAGCGUGGGGAGCGAACAGG